rnacentral:rRNA from 1 species
ACGGAGGGUGCAAGCGUUAUUCGGAAUUAUUGGGCGUAAAGCGCGCGUAGGUGGUUUACUAAGUCUGGUGUGAAAUCCCUGGACCCAAUCCAGGAAGUGCAUUGGAUACUGGUAGACUAGAGUGCAGGAGAGGAGAGCGGAAUUCCAGGUGUAGAGGUGAAAUUCGUAGAUAUCUGGAGGAACAACAGAGGCGAAGGCGGCUCUCUGGACUGCAACUGACACUGAGGCGCGAAAGCGUGGGGAGCAAACAGGA